UAGGGAAUAUUGGGCAAUGGACGAAAGUCUGACCCAGCCAUCCCGCGUGAAGGAUGAAGGAUCUAUGGUUCGUAAACUUCUUUUAUUGGGGAAGAAAAAGUCUCAUUCAUGAGAAACUGACGGUACCCAAUGAAUAAGCACCGGCUAACUCCGUGCCAGCAGCCGCGGUAAUACGGAGGGUGCAAGCGUUAUCCGGAUUCACUGGGUUUAAAGGGUGCGUAGGCGGCUUUAUAAGUCAUUGGUGAAAGCUCGCAGCUUAACUGUGAAACUGCCAAUGAAACUGUUUAGCUUGAAUGUGGUUGAAGUGGGCGGAAUACAACAUGUAGCGGUGAAAUGCUUAGAUAUGUUGUAGAACACCGAUUGCGAAGGCAGCUCACUAAGCCAAUUAUUGACGCUGAGGCACGAAAGCGUGGGUAGCGAACAG
rnacentral:rRNA from 1 species